AUUGAACGCUGGCGGCAGGCCUAACACAUGCAAGUCGAACGGUAACAGGAAACAGCUUGCUGUUUCGCUGACGAGUGGCGGACGGGUGAGUAAUGUCUGGGAAACUGCCUGAUGGAGGGGGAUAACUACUGGAAACGGUAGCUAAUACCGCAUAACGUCGCAAGACCAAAGAGGGGGACCCUCGGGCCUCUUGCCAUCGGAUGUGCCCAGAUGGGAUGAGCUUGUUGGUGGGGUAACGGCUCACCAAGGCGACGAUCCCUAGCUGGUCUGAGAGGAUGACCAGCCACACUGGAACUGAGACACGGUCCAGACUCCUACGGGAGGCAGCAGUGGGGAAUAUUGCACAAUGGGCGCAAGCCUGAUGCAGCCAUGCCGCGUGUAUGAAGAAGGCCUUCGGGUUGUAAAGUACUUUCAGCGGGGAGGAAGGGAGUAAAGUUAAUACCUUUGCUCAUUGACGUUACCCGCAGAAGAAGCACCGGCUAACUCCGUG
rnacentral:rRNA from 1 species